GAAGUAAAAAGUCGUAACAAGGUCUCCGUUGGUGAACCAGCGGAGGGAUCAUUA
rnacentral:rRNA from 6 species